UACGAAGGUGGCAAGCGUUGUUCGGAAUUACUGGGCGUAAAGGGCUUGUAGGUGGCCAACUAAGUCAGACGUGAAAUCCCUCGGCUUAACCGGGGAACUGCGUCUGAUACUGGAUGGCUUGAGUGUGGGAGAGGGAUGCGGAAUUCCAGGUGUAGCGGUGAAAUGCGUAGAUAUCGGAAGGAACACCAGUGGCGAAAGCGGCUUCCUGGUCCAGCAUCGACGUUCAGGCACGAAAGCGUGGGGAGCAAACAGG
rnacentral:rRNA from 1 species